CCUACGGGAGGCAGCAGUGGGGAAUAUUGCACAAUGGGGGAAACCCUGAUGUAGCGACGCCGCGUGAGUGAAGAAGUAUUUCGGUAUGUAAAGCUCUAUCAGCAGGGAAGAAAAUGACGGUACCUGACUAAGAAGCCCCGGCUAACUACGUGCCAGCAGCCGCGGUAAUACGUAGGGGGCAAGCGUUAUCCGGAUUUACUGGGUGUAAAGGGAGCGUAGACGGCCAGAAAAGUCAGAAGUGAAAGCCCAGGGCUCAACCCUGGCGAGCCGUUGAAACUGGCGGGCUGGAGUUGGAGAGAAGUACGCGGAAUGCGCGGUGUAGCGGUGAAAUGCUUAGAUAUCGCGCAGAACCCCGAUUGCGAAGGCAGCGUACCGGCUCCACACUGACGCUGAGGCACGAAAGCGUGGGUAUCGAACAGGAUUAGAUACCCGAGUAGUC
rnacentral:rRNA from 1 species